UUUCGAAUCAUUCACAAUGGGCGAAAGCCUGAUGGUGCGACGCCGCGUGAGGGAUGAAGGUCUUCGGAUUGUAAACCUCUGUCACUAGGGAAGAAACGCUUCAAGUUAACAGCUUGAAGCCUGACUUAACCUGGAGAGGAAGCAGUGGCUAACUCUGUGCCAGCAGCCGCGGUAAUACAGAGACUGCAAGCGUUAUUCGGAUUCACUGGGCGUAAAGGGUGCGCAGGUGGCCAGGUGUGUGAGGCGUGAAAGCCCGCUGCUCAACAGCGGAAUUGCACCUCAAACUACUUGGCUAGAGCAUUGGAGAGGGGAGCAGAAUUCACGGUGUAGCAGUGAAAUACGUAGAUAUCGUGAGGAAUACCAGAGGCGAAGGCGGCUCCCUGGACAAUAGCUGACACUCAGGCACGAAAGCGUGGGGAGCAAAAGGG
rnacentral:rRNA from 1 species